GUAUAAUGGGUCAGCGACUUAUAUUCAGUGGCAAGCUUAACCGUAUAGGGUAGGCGUAGCGAAAGCGAGUCUUAAUAGGGCGUUUAGUCGCUGGGUAUAGACCCGAAACCGGGCGAUCUAUCCAUGAGCAGGUUGAAGGUUAGGUAACACUGACUGGAGGACCGAACCCACUCCCGUUGAAAAGGUAGGGGAUGACUUGUGGAUCGGAGUGAAAGGCUAAUCAAGCUCGGAGAUAGCUGGUUCUCCUCGAAAGCUAUUUAGGUAGCGCCUCAUGUAUCACUCUGGGGGGUAGAGCACUGUUUCGGCUAGGGGGUCAUCCCGACUUACCAAACCGAUGCAAACUCCGAAUACCCAGAAGUGCCGAGCAUGGGAGACACACGGCGGGUGCUAACGUCCGUCGUGAAAAGGGAAACAACCCAGACCGCCAGCUAAGGUCCCAAAGUUGUGGUUAAGUGGUAAACGAUGUGGGAAGGCUUAGACAGCUAGGAGGUUGGCUUAGAAGCAGCCAUCCUUUAAAGAAAGCGUAAUAGCUCACUAGUCGAGUCGGCCUGCGCGGAAGAUGUAACGGGGCUCAAACCACACACCGAAGCUGCGGGUGUCACGUAAGUGACGCGGUAGAGGAGCGUUCUGUAAGCCUGUGAAGGUGAGUUGAGAAGCUUGCUGGAGGUAUCAGAAGUGCGAAUGCUGACAUGAGUAACGACAAUGGGUGUGAAAAACACCCACGCCGAAAGACCAAGGGUUCCUGCGCAACGUUAAUCGACGCAGGGUUAGUCGGUUCCUAAGGCGAGGCUGAAAAGCGUAGUCGAUGGGAAACAGGUUAAUAUUCCUGUACUUCUGGUUACUGCGAUGGAGGGACGGAGAAGGCUAGGCCAGCUUGGCGUUGGUUGUCCAAGUUUAAGGUGGUAGGCUGAAAUCUUAGGUAAAUCCGGGGUUUCAAGGCCGAGAGCUGAUGACGAGUCGUCUUUUAGAUGACGAAGUGGUUGAUGCCAUGCUUCCAAGAAAAGCUUCUAAGCUUCAGGUAACCAGGAACCGUACCCCAAACCGACACAGGUGGUCGGGUAGAGAAUACCAAGGCGCUUGAGAGAACUCGGGUGAAGGAACUAGGCAAAAUGGCACCGUAACUUCGGGAGAAGGUGCGCCGGCUAGGGUGAAGGAUUUACUCCGUAAGCUCUGGCUGGUCGAAGAUACCAGGCCGCUGCGACUGUUUAUUAAAAACACAGCACUCUGCAAACACGAAAGUGGACGUAUAGGGUGUGACGCCUGCCCGGUGCCGGAAGGUUAAUUGAUGGGGUUAGCGCAAGCGAAGCUCUUGAUCGAAGCCCCGGUAAACGGCGGCCGUAACUAUAACGGUCCUAAGGUAGCGAAAUUCCUUGUCGGGUAAGUUCCGACCUGCACGAAUGGCGUAACGAUGGCGGCGCUGUCUCCACCCGAGACUCAGUGAAAUUGAAAUCGCUGUGAAGAUGCAGUGUAUCCGCGGCUAGACGGAAAGACCCCGUGAACCUUUACUGUAGCUUUGCACUGGACUUUGAGCCUGCUUGUGUAGGAUAGGUGGGAGGCUUUGAAGCGUGGACGCCAGUUCGCGUGGAGCCAUCCUUGAAAUACCACCCUGGCAUGCUUGAGGUUCUAACUCUGGUCCGUAAUCCGGAUCGAGGACAGUGUAUGGUGGGCAGUUUGACUGGGGCGGUCUCCUCCUAAAGAGUAACGGAGGAGUACGAAGGUGCGCUCAGACCGGUCGGAAAUCGGUCGCAGAGUAUAAAGGCAAAAGCGCGCUUGACUGCGAGACAGACACGUCGAGCAGGUACGAAAGUAGGUCUUAGUGAUCCGGUGGUUCUGUAUGGAAGGGCCAUCGCUCAACGGAUAAAAGGUACUCCGGGGAUAACAGGCUGAUACCGCCCAAGAGUUCAUAUCGACGGCGGUGUUUGGCACCUCGAUGUCGGCUCAUCACAUCCUGGGGCUGAAGCCGGUCCCAAGGGUAUGGCUGUUCGCCAUUUAAAGUGGUACGCGAGCUGGGUUUAGAACGUCGUGAGACAGUUCGGUCCCUAUCUGCCGUGGACGUUUGAGAUUUGAGAGGGGCUGCUCCUAGUACGAGAGGACCGGAGUGGACGAACCUCUGGUGUUCCGGUUGUCACGCCAGUGGCAUUGCCGGGUAGCUAUGUUCGGAAAAGAUAACCGCUGAAAGCAUCUAAGCGGGAAACUUGCCUCAAGAUGAGAUCUCACUGGGAACUUGAUUCCCCUGAAGGGCCGUCGAAGACUACGACGUUGAUAGGCUGGGUGUGUAAGCGUUGUGAGGCGUUGAGCUAACCAGUACUAAUUGCCCGUGAGGCUUGACCA
rnacentral:rRNA from 1 species